rnacentral:rRNA from 1 species
GUUGAACGCUGGCGGCAGGCCUAACACAUGCAAGUCGAACGAGUGGCGGACGGGUGAGUAGUGUCUGGGAAACUGCCUGAUGGAGGGGGAUAACUACUGGAAACGGUAGCUAAUACCGCAUACCAUCAGAUGGGCCCAGAGUGGAUUAGCUGGUUGGGGGGGUAACGGCUCACCAAGGCGACGAUCCCUAGCAGGUCUGAGAGGAUGACCAGCCACACUGGAACUGAGACACGGUCCAGACUCCUACGGGAGGCAGCAGUGGGGAAUAUUGCACAAUGGGCGCAAGUCUGAUGCAGCAAUGCCGCGUGUAUGAAGAAGGCCUUCGGGUUGUAAAGUACUUUCGGCGGGGAGGCGUUACCCGCAGAGGAAGCACCGGCUAACUCCGUGCCAGCAGCCGCGGUAAUAC